CACACACACACACACACACACACACACACACACACACACACUGAGGCUGUGUGGCCGGCCUGGGAGCCCAGACCAGCAGGCUUGGUCCUAAGGCUGUCUCUGGCUCCAUUACAGAGCCGUGUCCCCAUGCCAGACUUGGGAUGGUCACCUGUGAAGCACACAGCUGACCUAAAUGACCCC